GGCUAGAUGGCCCAGUGUUUAGAGCACCAGACCUGGAGUCUGGAGGACCUGGGUUCAAAUCUCAACUCAGACA
rnacentral:tRNA from 1 species